ensembl:miRNA MIR100 microRNA 100
CCUGUUGCCACAAACCCGUAGAUCCGAACUUGUGGUGGUAGUGCACACAAGCUUGUGUCUAUAGGUAUGUGUCUGU